rnacentral:rRNA from 1 species
AGUGAACGCUGGCGGUAGGCCUAACACAUGCAAGUCGAACGGCAGCACAGUAAGAGCUUGCUCUUACGGGUGGCGAGUGGCGGACGGGUGAGGAAUACAUCGGAAUCUACUUUUUCGUGGGGGAUAACGUAGGGAAACUUACGCUAAUACCGCAUACGACCUACGGGUGAAAGCAGGGGAUCUUCGGACCUUGCGCAAUUGAAUGAGCCGAUGUCGGAUUAGCUAGUUGGCGGGGUAAAGGCCCACCAAGGCGACGAUCCGUAGCUGGUCUGAGAGGAUGAUCAGCCACACUGGAACUGAGACACGGUCCAGACUCCUACGGGAGGCAGCAGUGGGGAAUAUUGGACAAUGGGCGCAAGCCUGAUCCAGCCAUACCGCGUGGGUGAAGAAGGCCUUCGGGUUGUAAAGCCCUUUUGUAGGGAAAGAAAAGCAGCAGGUUAAUACCCCGCUGUUCUGACGGUACCCAAAGAAUAAGCACCGGCUAACUUCGUG